AUUGAACGCUGGCGGCAGGCCUAACACAUGCAAGUCGAGCGAGCGGCGGACGGGUGAGUAAUGUCUGGGAAACUGCCUGAUGGAGGGGGAUAACUACUGGAAACGGUAGCUACUACCGCAUACCAUCAGAUGUGCCCAGAUGGGAUUAUCUAGUAGGUGGGGUAACGUCUCACCUAGGCGACGAUCCCUAGCUGGUCUGAGAGGGUGACCAGCCACACUGGAACGGAGGCACGGUCCAGAGUCCGACGUGAAGCAGCGUUGGGGAAUAUUGCACAAUGGGCGCAAGCCUGAUGCAGCCAAGCCGCGUGGGUGAAGAAUGCCUUCGGGUUGUAAAGCACUUUCAGCGGGGAGGCGUUACCCGCAGAAGAAGCACCGGCUAACUCCGUGCCAGCAGCCGCGGUAAUUC
rnacentral:rRNA from 1 species